UGGGGAAUAUUGCGCAAUGGGGGGAACCCUGACGCAGCCAUGCCGCGUGAAUGAAGAAGGCCUUAGGGUUGUAAAGUUCUUUCGGUAUUGAGGAAGGUUGAUGUGUUAAUAGCACAUCAAAUUGACGUUAAAUACAGAAGAAGCACCGGCUAACUCCGUGCCAGCAGCCGCGGUAAUACGGAGGGUGCGAGCGUUAAUCGGAAUAACUGGGCGUAAAGGGCACGCAGGCGGUUAUUUAAGUGAGGUGUGAAAGCCCCGGGCUUAACCUGGGAAUUGCAUUUCAGACUGGGUAACUAGAGUACUUUAGGGAGGGGUAGAAUUCCACGUGUAGCGGUGAAAUGCGUAGAGAUGUGGAGGAAUACCGAAGGCGAAGGCAGCCCCUUGGGAAUGUACUGACGCUCAUGUGCGAAAGCGUGGGGAGCAAACAGGAUUAGAUACCCUGGUAGUCCACGCUGUAAACGCUGUCGAUUUGGGGGUUAGGGUUUAACUCUGGCGCCCGUAGCUAACGUGAUAAAUCGACCGCCUGGGGAGUACGGCCGCAAGGUUA
rnacentral:rRNA from 1 species